UUGAGAAAGAGGAUAAGGCUUCCUCUUGGACGAGAGCAGCCACACAAUUCGUCUCUCACUCCUCUCCUUUUUUCUUUUUUGGCAAGGCUCUCUUCUUCCCCUUUCAACAAAGAUUCAAAGUGGGGUUUCACCCUCUCUGCCUUAUGAAACCUCAAACAAGCAUACCCACCAUGUAGGUGUGAUUUGCUCGUUUUGAGAUCAAGACCUUAUCUCUGAUUCUCUUCCUUCUCCACCAACAGAUUUGAACUGGUGUCACCUCCCAAAACCAUUUGUUCUGGAUCCAUCGAUGACCAAGCCCUCUCUUCAUGCUCUUCCCCUUCGAUUUCCCUGUUCUUGGUUUGAAGAGAUUUUUUUUCGAAUCAGACCGGCGGUCUGUUGAGAUCAAGGAGGCUUUGGUGGUCUGUUAGUGGUGGCGUAUCUGGAUUUAUUGUAUCAUUCUCCGACACUGACGGUUGUUUGGAUAUACUCGGUGGUGCAUGCAGAUGUUAGUAAAGAUAUGAAGGGUAACUGUGUUCAACAAUAAUUCUUCACUGCUAUGCUUCAAAGCAAUAAUUUCAUCUGUUCUUUGCUUUGUAUGUUGAUUUCAGCUAUAAAGAGGAGGUCUGGAAUCCAAAGAAGAAGGAUUUUUAGCAAAGAAAAGCUGCCCAGAAAUAUGGUUUAUACUUAUAGUUUUCUUUACAAAACAGAAUACAUGAAACUUGAUACAGAGACAUUAUUGGGUGAUCCAAGCAUAUACCAGAGCUGAAUCUUAUGAUAGAGUGCAAGAUGUUGCUGAGUUUGUUGGCAUGAUGGUUGAAGACCACAAGCGGUUGCAGCCUAAUGUGAAAACCUAUGCUACAUCAGUCCAUGGAGUUUUAAGACAGACCCAAAUUCCACCGCGAGCCAGGAUUUUGAGCAGAAAGUAUCAAACACUGGUGAGCUCAAGGGUUGAACCUUUGCAAGAGGAAGUUGAACUUGGACAUGAGAUUGAUUAUAUGGCCAGGUACGUUGCAGAGGGAGGGCUUACUGGUGAACGCAAGCGAUGGGUGCCUCAAAGAGGGAAUACUUCACAGAAAUACGUAGUUAUAGCUGGGUCAAAUUGUACAGUAUAUCUACAUAAAUACGUAGUUGUAGCUGGGUCAAUUUUUUUUUUUUUUUAAUAUAUCCCCAAGUUUUGCCACUGAUGUUGGUGGCAUUGAGAACACAC